GUGAGGAAUCUUGCGCAAUGGGGGAAACCCUGACGCAGCAACGCCGCGUGAGUGAGGAAGGUUUUCGGAUCGUAAAGCUCUGUCGGGUGAGAAGAAAUGUAUAGAAGUUAACAGCCUUUAUACUUGACGGUAUCACCAGAGGAAGCACCGGCCAACUCCGUGCCAGCAGCCGCGGUAAUACGGGGGGUGCAAGCGUUGUUCGGAAUCAUUGGGCGUAAAGAGCGUGUAGGCCGCUGGAUAAGUCAGAUGUGAAAGCCCUGGGCUCAACCCGGGAAGUGCAUUUGAAACUGUCCUGCUAGAGUAAGGGAGAGGGAAGUGGAAUUCCUGGUGUAGAGGUGAAAUUCGUAGAUAUCAGGAGGAACACCGGUGGCGAAGGCGACUUCCUGGCCCUAUACUGACGCUGAGACGCGAGAGCGUGGGGAGCAAACAGGAUUAGAAACCCUAGUAGUCC
rnacentral:rRNA from 1 species